rnacentral:tRNA from 1 species
GCCUGGGUGGCUCAGUCGGUUGAGCAUCUGACUUUAGCUCAGGUCAUGAUCUCACAGCUCGUGAGUUCGAGCCCCGUGUUGGGCU